rnacentral:rRNA from 1 species
UACGUAGGAUGCGAGCGUUGUCCGGAUUUACUGGGCGUAAAGGGUGCGCAGGUGGCGGCGCGCGUGGGGGGUGAAAUCGCCCGGCUUAACUGGGCGGGGGCCUUCCAGACGGCGUGGCUUGAGCAGCGGAGGGGGACGUGGAAUUCCGGGUGGAGCGGUGAAAUGCGUAGAUAUCAGGAGGAACACCGGUGGCGAAGGCGGGUCUCUGGGCCGAUAUUGACGCUGAGGAGCGAAAGCGUGGGGAGCGAACAGG